AGCAGCCGCGGUAAUUCCAGCUCCAAUAGCGUAUAUUAAAGUUGUUGCAGUUAAAAAGCUCGUAGUUGAAUUUCGGGAUUUAUCCGUCGGUCGGGCUUUUGGGUCUGUACUGGCGUGAUGAAUUCCUACCUUCUGAAUAACCAGCAUGCCAUUAAUUUGGUGCGCCGGGGAAGCAGGACUGUUACCUUGAAAAAUUAGAGUGCUUAAAGCAGGCUAUUGCCUGAAUACAUUAGCAUGGAAUAAUGAAAUAGGACGGCAUGGUUCUAUUUUGUUGGUUUCUAGGAUCACCGUAAUGAUUAAUAGGGAUAGUUGGGGGCAUUAGUAUUCAAUUGUCAGAGGUGAAAUUCUUGGAUUUAUUGAAGACUAACUUCUGCGAAAGCAUUUGCCAAGGAUGUUUUCAUUAAUCAAGAACGAAAGUUAGGGGAUCGAAGACGAUCAGAUACCGUCGUAGUCUUAACCAUAAAACUAUG
rnacentral:misc_RNA from 1 species